rnacentral:misc_RNA from 1 species
UCUCCGUUGGUGAACCAGCGGAGGGAUCAUUACCGAGUUUACAACUCCCAAACUCUUGUGAACAUACCACUUGUUGCCUCGGCGGAUCAGCCCGCUCCCGGUAAAACGGGAGGGCACGCCAGAGGACCCCUAAACUCUGUUUCUAUAUGUAAAUUAUGAGUAAAACCAAAAAAAAAUAAAAACUUUCAACAAAGGAUCUCUUGGUUCUGGCAUGGAUGAAGAAAGCAGCAGAACGGAAGAGAAAACGCAUGUACUCCAGUCAGGACCAACUACCUCGUA